rnacentral:rRNA from 1 species
AACACGUGGGUAACCUGCCUGUAAGACUGGGAUAACUCCGGGAAACCGGAGCUAAUACCGGAUAGUUCCUUGAACCGCAUGGUUCAAGGAUGAAAGACGGUUUCGGCUGUCACUUACAGAUGGACCCGCGGCGCAUUAGCUAGUUGGUGGGGUAAUGGCUCACCAAGGCGACGAUGCGUAGCCGACCUGAGAGGGUGAUCGGCCACACUGGGACUGAGACACGGCCCAGACUCCUACGGGAGGCAGCAGUAGGGAAUCUUCCGCAAUGGACGAAAGUCUGACGGAGCAACGCCGCGUGAGUGAUGAAGGUUUUCGGAUCGUAAAGCUCUGUUGUUAGGGAAGAACAAGUGCGAGAGUAACUGCUCGCACCUUGACGGUACCUAACCAGAAAGCCACGGCUAACUACGUGCCAGCAGCCGCGGUAAUACGUAGGUGGCAAGCGUUGUCCGGAAUUAUUGGGCGUAAAGGGCUCGCAGGCGGUUUCUUAAGUCUGAUGUGAAAGCCCCCGGCUCAACCGGGGAGGGUCAUUGGAAACUGGGAAACUUGAGUGCAGAAGAGGAGAGUGGAAUUCCACGUGUAGCGGUGAAAUGCGUAGAGAUGUGGAGGAACACCAGUGGCGAAGGCGACUCUCUGGUCUGUAACUGACGCUGAGGAGCGAAAGCGUGGGGAGCGAACAGGAUUAGAUACCCUGGUAGUCCACGCCGUAAACGAUGAGUGCUAAGUGUUAGGGGGUUUCCGCCCCUUAGUGCUGCAGCUAACGCAUUAAGCACUCCGCCUGGGGAGUACGGUCGCAAGACUGAAACUCAAAGGAAUUGACGGGGGCCCGCACAAGCGGUGGAGCAUGUGGUUUAAUUCGAAGCAACGCGAAGAACCUUACCAGGUCUUGACAUCCUCUGACAACCCUAGAGAUAGGGCUUUCCCUUCGGGGACAGAGUGACAGGUGGUGCAUGGUUGUCGUCAGCUCGUGUCGUGAGAUGUUGGGUUAAGUCCCGCAACGAGCGCAACCCUUGAUCUUAGUUGCCAGCAUUCAGUUGGGCACUCUAAGGUGACUGCCGGUGACAAACCGGAGGAAGGUGGGGAUGACGUCAAAUCAUCAUGCCCCUUAUGACCUGGGCU